GCCAAUGUGGCAUAAUGGUUUGAGUGCUGGACUGUAACUCUGGAGACCAGGGUUCAAUUCCCAGCUUCGCCA
rnacentral:tRNA from 1 species